rnacentral:misc_RNA from 1 species
UACGGAGGGCGCAAGCGUUGUUCGGAAUCACUGGGCGUAAAGCGCGCGCAGGCGGGUGCGGAAGUCGGGGGGUGAAAGGCCGGGGCUCAACCCCGGACCGUUCUCUCGAUACUCCGUGCCUAGGGACCGGUAGAGGCCAGCGGAAUUCCCGGAGUAGCGGUGGAAUGCGUAGAGAUCGGGAAGAACACCAGAGGCGAAGGCGGCUGGCUGGGCCGGGUCCGACGCUCAGGCGCGAAAGCGUGGGGAGCAAACAGG